rnacentral:lncRNA from 1 species
GUGGUGACCUGGGAAUCAAUGUGUGAGGUGGUGCUAUGUAGCAGGAACCCCUCUUGCUUUGCAAAUAGUUUUUUGUUUGUUUUCCUUUUUGCCCAAUAGAGCCCUGCUCUACUGACCCUUCAAUGUGCCCGUGUGCCUAAAUAUUCCUGGUCGUGUGAAAAGAACCCAGGUAUUAGCUGAACUAAGGAGCACAAUUCUGCAACAUUUUGGCACCCAAACACGGGGCUUGAGAAAUGACUUUUGGAUGCUACAGAGGACACCUGCAGCAUCAAAAAAAGUAAGGUAAAUGGAUUAUCUGGUAUGUUUUAGGUACAUGGGAUUGACAAAACGGUGUUCAAUCCUUUUUCGGUUGUAUUUUUGUGAAUAAUACUAAUAGUACUAAUAAUAAUACUAAUGUAUAGUUCCAAACUUUUAUGGGAUUUAAAAAAUUCUAAUGUUUGAGCAUAUACUAUCAAUCAUAAUUAUAGCUAUUAUGUUAAAUUAUUGUAAACCAUGGAGAUAACCAAAUUUAUUUGUCAAUCAUGUUUCUGACUGCAACUACCCUGGACAUUUUGUUACUCACAAACCAUUGUUGUCUUGUUUUGAUCCUAUCCUCUUCACAUGAUGUUUAUAAUCAGCUAUGGAACUUUGACAGGUGUUCUCAAAUGCAGGCUUCUGAUAACUUUGGAGAUUGUGACAUUGGAAUAAAGGAAAAACAUACAGGGCUCAUGAAAAUUGAAAUGUUCAUGGAUAGCAAGCAAAACAAGAGUUAACUGAAUGGACUGAACUAAUAGAAAACUGAAGUAAUCGUUUUAGCUUUUGCUUGGAAUAUUGCUGAUCAUUAUUUUGUUUUUCAGAGUCCAGGAAACUUAUUUUGAACUAUUUAUGACCUUUAAUAAUUGAGUAAGGUGUACUCCUGUGAACAAAAUUUGGAGCAUUAUUUGUCUCUCUCUGCCUGGCUUCUCCAGAAUUUGGAAACUAAUAUUGAGUAUUCUUAACUUAUGGCAGUAUAGUCAUUUGCAUCAGUGCAAUAAGAAUCCUUUUUCUUUUGCAACAGAAUGCAAUUGGAGAAACUGGUUGUUUUACCAGGCGUUGAUUGGAAAUGUGUGCUUCCCUUUAAGCAGUCAAGCUCAACUUGCAGAACUGAUGGGAACCCCUUGGGAAAACUGGCCUCAAAUGUUUGUCUACACAGUCCACAUACAGGGUUCUUAACCUGCGGUGAGUAAAGAAUGUCACUUUCCAACAGGCCCAGAUAUCAUAUGCUCUUGGGACCUCAAGAAGAGAGGAGUUUACCCAAUUCAUAGGUGUGUGAGGAUAAAAACCUAGGGCUGGGCUCAGCUUUAAAUGGUCUUAUCUGAGAUUCUUUGUGAAACAGAUUUUCAUGAAAGCCAAUCUAGAGGGCCUACGUAGAAAUAAUUGUUUUUGCUGCACUUUAUGCACAUAAUCAAGCCAAUUAUAAGACUAAAGUCUAUAUUGCAAGCAACACACUCCUAUUAUGAUUUGUUUUUAACAGAAAUGAGGACGAGACAGAGAGAAAUUAUGUUUCAAAACUUAUCAUCAUUAGUUUCUAGACUUAUUAUUUCUUUUUAAGUUUUUACCUACAUUUUAGACUGACCCUGCUUGUGCCUGUGAACCAACCAACAAUCUCUGGCUGCAGCUCAGAAAGGACAAAAGAGAAUGGGUAAUGUAAAAACCUGGAUCAGUAUUUUAGUUCUGAACAAUUAUCCUGCAAAUCCUGCCAGCUGAUGGGAAUAAAUAGGAUGCCCAUGAUCCGGAGGUUUACUUUUUGGGAAAGUAAAACCAAGGGAGCUAACCAAAGUAAAACCCCAUACACCCAAAUCUGAGCAAGCAUAACUAUAGCCACCAGUUAUCUGGGUGUGUCACAAGACACUCUUUUCUUUCCUUUGUUGGAGGAGAACUCAUUUCCACAGCUUCACUUUAGCAUUAUGGCUUAUGUUAAGGAGUCUAUGCAACUUCCAUGCUGAGACACGUUUUUGGUCCCAAAGUUAAUUCCAAGCUUUGUGUCAAAGGCCUAAGAAAACUGGAUCUUAGGGAUCCAGAAGCCAGACAAUAAUGAAAGUCAAAAGGCACAGCACAGGUGAGCAUGACUAAUUCCCGCUGAUUAAGCCAAGCUUCCUGUUUCAUGGAUAAAGGUCAUGCUAGUAUCCAUGGCAUAAAUGAGGUCUAGAGAACUAAAAGGCUACUGCCAGCAGGGGAGAUAGGGAGGACAUAAGACAGGGCAGCUAUUCCCAUCCCCUAGACCCCCUGUUAACAUGGAUGAAAGCCACUUUGACACCCAUGGGUGGCACCCUGUCACAGUUGGUGGGACUCAGCAAUACAGGGACAGAGGAAAGAAAGAGGAACAACUCACUUUCUCUCCCUCACACACCCUGAGUAUUUGCUAGAAAAAGAAAGGAACCAGGCACACAUGCUCCCCUAUUUCUAGAUGAGUAGCCAUUCAUCUUUAGUCUGCACCCUUUUAGAACAUGUCCUGAACCCCUGGGACUCUUCUGAAAAAAAUGCCUUCUUUUUUCCUUUUUCUUCCUCUGUCCUCUAUUCACUGGUAGGUAGGUAAUGGUGUCCCAUACCACAGAACACUUCCCUCAGAUGCAUCCUUCUAACUGGGAGGAGUUAAUUUCUCAAACCGUAGACUAAUUGGCUUAGGAUUAGGUUCAGGGGAAGGGAACACAGAAACAUGACAUGCCAGCAAAAGGGUAAAAGGUUUUUUUUCCCCGUUGGGCUUUUGGCCUCUCUCUCCCUGUGCAAACUGGUAAAAGGCGUCUGGAUUUUCUAGUUGUCCUUACCCACUGCUUGUUUCGUUUUGAUACAUAUUUUCUAAUAACCUGUUUGUCUCUUCUCACUUUUAGGCCAUCAAACUCCAGUCUGCACCUGGAGCCUUGGAUGAUGGCCUUUUUUACUGGGAACCCUGAAAUAGGCCUCUGAGGGAAAUCUGAUUGCCAUUUUCCCAAAACAGCUUCCCUGACAAUAGGAAGCAAUUAAGAUUGGUCUUCAUCCUUAUCUUUAUCCUUAUUCUAAUGGCAGUUAGAGGUACUUCUUUAGAGGGGGGAAUGAGACAGCCAAAUGCCUAGGCAGAUAAAAAGGUGUACCUGGAAAAUUUCCAACCCGUCACACAAGUGUUUACAUCAGAUGCUUUUGUGUAGAUGAGGGAAACUUCCCAGGGCUUGUCUGGGUAUGCCCACAGUGGACUGGAGCCCAAAAUGCACACUGGAGGAAGUGGAUGGAGCCACGUGGAUGUCAUGCCUUAUGCAGGGGAGGAGCCUGCUCUCUUCAGCUCCUGUGGUAAUGUGGGAAUCGAUCUGUGAGGUGAGGACCUGUUAGCAGGAACCCCUCUUGCUUUGCUGAAAGUUUUAUUUUUCUUUUUGCCCUAUAAAACCCUGUUCUACUAACCCUUCAAUAUGUCUGCAUUCCUAAAUUUUCCUGGUCAUGUGACGAGAACCUAGGUUUUAGCUGAACUAAGGAGCAAAAUUCUGCAACAUAAAGUCAAAGAAAACUAUGCCUAUAUCCAUUAAAUCAAAUGUUAAAAAGCAAAUAUAAAGAAAAAGUCUUCACAGCCCUAGAGAAAAGUGAAACAUUGUACAUAAAGAAGUAAUAAUUUGAAUGGAUUGUCAGAAACCAUGACUAGAAGACAGAGGAGCAAUAUUUUCAAAUUUCAUAGAGAAAGGAAAAAAAGAAAAGAAGAAAAAAAAGAAGACAUAAUAAAACACCUGUCAUUUUAGUAUUCUGUACCCAUUGAACAUAACCUUCAAUAGAAUGUGAAGUAGACAUAUUCAGGUGAAUAAAAAAUCAAGAGAAUAAUAGUUAUGUUCUACAUGAAAUUAUAAAGGAAAUUUCUCAGACUAGGUGGAAAUUAUACUAGUGAGAAACAGAUUUGAAGGACUAAAGGAAGAGAUGAUAGACUGACAAAGUCAAUUUUUAAAAGCCAGAUCUAACUUCUUAUUGGCUACAAGGAAUCCACUUUUAAUAUACAAAAAUAGGUAAUAAUUAAAUUGCUAGAAAAUACAUUUCAAAUAAAGAAUCAGCACAUGUAGCUUGGAGAAGAUAUAUUAACAUAAAAAGGACUUCAAUAAAAGGAGUAUUAUGAGAAGACAUUUAUGCAGCCAAAAAACACAUGAAAAAAUGCUCACCAUCACUGGCCAUCAGAGAAAUGCAAAUCAAAACCACAAUGAGAUACCAUCUCACACCAGUUAGAAUGGCAAUCAUUAAAAAGUCAGGAAACAACAGGUGCUGGAGAGGAUGUGGAGAAAUAGGAACACUUUUACACUGUUGGUGGGACUGUAAACUAGUUCAACCAUUGUGGAAGUCAGUGUGGUGAUUCCUCAGGGAUCUAGAACUGGAAAUACCAUUUGACCCAGCCAUCCCAUUACUGGGUGUAUACCCAAAGGACUAUAAAUCAUGCUUCUAUAAA